GUGCUUGCUUCAGCAGCACAGAUACUAAAAUUGGAACGAUACAGAGAUUAGCAUGGGCCCUGCGCAAGGAUGACAUGCAAAUUCAGGAAGUGUUCCAUAUUAAA